GUAAUAUCUAUAAGAAAAACCUUUGUCCCUUGGCGGCCCUUCUCCUACUCAGAGGAACUUGUUUUUUAAUCGACAACCCGCGCUAACUUUCACUUUCUUUUAGUUUUUAUACCGCCGUCUAAAGAUAAAGAUUAGAAGCUUUUUCAUCCCAACUUAAGUUAUUAAGUCAGGUCAAGGUGAAGCUAACAAAAAAGAAAUAAAUGAGUUACAUAUUUUCACAAAAAAUGGACCAAGGACUAAAGUCUCCAGAAAACAGGAUUUGACAGUAAUGUUAUUUUAAUACAAU
rnacentral:rRNA from 1 species